rnacentral:rRNA from 1 species
CCUACGGGUGACAGCAGUGAGGAAUAUUGGUCAAUGGACGAGAGUCUGAACCAGCCAAGUAGCGUGAAGGAUGACUGCCCUAUGGGUUGUAAACUUCUUUUAUAUGGGAAUAAAAUGUUCCACGUGUGGGAUUUUGUAUGUACCAUAUGAAUAAGGAUCGGCUAACUCCGUGCCAGCAGCCGCGGUAAUACGGAGGAUCCGAGCGUUAUCCGGAUUUAUUGGGUUUAAAGGGAGCGUAGGUGGAUUGUUAAGUCAGUUGUGAAAGUAUGCGGCUCAACCGUAAAAUCGCAGGUGAAACUGGCAGUCUGGAGUACAGUAGAGGAGGGCGGAAUUCGUGGUGUAGCGGUGAAAUGCUUAGAUAUCACGAAGAACUCCGAUUGCGAAGGCAGCUCACUGGACUGCAACUGACACUGAGGCUCGAAAGUGUGGGUAUCAAACAGGAUUAGAUACCCCAGUAGUC